UACGAAGGGGCUAGCGUUGUUCGGAAUUACUGGGCGUAAAGCGUGCGCAGGCGGCUUCUCAAGUCAGGGGUGAAAGCCCAGAGCUCAACUCUGGAAUUGCCUUUGAGACUGAGAGGCUUGAGUACGGGAGAGGUGGAGUGGAAUUCCCAGUGAUAGAGGUGAAAUUCGUAGAUAUUGGGAAGAACACCGGUGGCGAAGGCGGCUCACUGGCCCGAAACUGACGCUCAUGCACGACAGCGUGGGGAUCAAACAGG
rnacentral:rRNA from 1 species